rnacentral:rRNA from 1 species
GAUGAACGCUGGCGGCGUGCCUAAUACAUGCAAGUCGAGCGAACAGAUGAGGAGCUUGCUCCUCUGACGUUAGCGGCGGACGGGAGAGUAACACGUGGAUAACCUACCUAUAAGACUGGGAUAACUUCGGGAAACCGGAGCUAAUACCGGAUAAUCUAUUGAACCGCAUGGUUCAAUAGUGAAAGACGGUUUUGCUGUCACUUAUAGAUGGAUCCGAGCCGCAUUAGCUAGUUGGUAAGGUAACGGCUUACCAAGGCAACGAUGCGUAGCCGACCUGAGGGGGCGAUCGGCCACACUGGAACUGAGACACGGUCCAGACUCCUACGGGAGGCAGCAGUAGGGAAUCUUCCGCAAUGGUCGAAAGCCUGACGGAGCAACGCCGCGUGAGUUAUGAAGGUCUUCGGAUCGUAAAACUCUGUUAUUAGGUAAGAACAAAUGUGUAAGUAACUAUGCACGUCUUGACGGUACCUAAUCAGAAAGCCACGGCUAACUACGUG